rnacentral:rRNA from 1 species
GUGCCAGCAGCCGCGGUAACACGUAGGGACCGAGCGUUGUCCGGAUUCAUUGGGCGUAAAGAGCUCGUAGGCGGUUCGGUAAGUCGGGUGUGAAAACCCCGGGCUCAACUCGGGGACGCCACUCGAUACUGCCGUGACUUGAGUCCAGUAGGGGAGUGCGGAAUUCCUGGUGUAGCGGUGAAAUGCGCAGAUAUCAGGAGGAACACCGGUGGCGAAGGCGGCACUCUGGGCUGGAACUGACGCUGAGGAGCGAAAGCGUGGGUAGCAAACAGGAUUAGAAACCCUGGUAGUCC